rnacentral:rRNA from 1 species
UGAGCAAUCUGCCCUUCUCUUUGGAAUAAGCGUUGGAAACGACGUCUAAUGCCGAAUACGACCUCCUUUCGCAUGAUCGGAGGUGGAAAGCUCCGGCGGAGAAGGAUGAGCUCGCGGCCUAUCAGCUAGUUGGUGUGGGUAAUGGCCCACCAAGGCGACGACGGGUAGCCGGCUUGAGAGGGUGACCGGCCACACUGGGACUGAGACACGGCCCAGACUCCUACGGGAGNAGCG